rnacentral:rRNA from 1 species
UAGCAAAAAAGUACCGUGAGGGAAAGAUGAAAAGCACUUUGAAAAGAGAGUGAAAAGAACCUGAAACCAUUCUGUGGGAAGCGUAUUGCAUCACAAUGAGAGACGUUUGCAUGUUCAACCUUUCGGGGUGCAUUCAUGUAGAGGUCUAUCUGUCGUGGGCUUGUGGGCAGUCGAUUUUUAUUUUGGGCUGCCUCAGGCUGAGGGCUCCGCGAAAGCGUUGAGGACGGCAGAGGGACGAUGCGAUUCGACCCGUCUUGAAACACGGACCAAGGAGUCUAGCACAUCUGCGAGUCAAAGGGUGUUUAAACCCCAGGGCGCAGUGAAAGCAAAUUUGUUCCAUAAAACGAGCAGUUUGAGGCGGCAUACGAUCGUUGAUUGUAAGUCUGACCUAGAGCAAAUGUGCUGGGACCCGAAAGAUGGUGAACUAUGCCGGAGUAGGGCGAAGCCAGAGGAAACUCUGGUGGAGGCUCGUAGCGGUGCUGACGUGCAAAUCGCUCGUCCAACUCGGGUAUAGGGGCGAAAGACUAAUCGAACCAUCUAGUAGCU